AACCCAUGGUGAGGGCAUCUUUGUAAAAGGUCCUUGUAUCUCGCCCACGCAUCGUAGAGUGUUUCUAAAUCCAUCUGCACAAAAGAGGAGAUAUCAUUGUGUAAUU
rnacentral:snoRNA from 1 species